UACGUAGGGUGCAAGCGUUGUCCGGAAUUAUUGGGCGUAAAGAGCUUGUAGGCGGUCUGUCGCGUCUGCUGUGAAAGUCGGGGGCUCAACCCUCGGAUGCCGGUGGAUACUGUCGGGCUUGAGUACGGAAGAGGCGAGUGGAAUUCCUGGUGUAGCGGUGAAAUGCUUAGAUAUGACAUAGAACACCAAUUGCGAAGGCAGCUCACUACACGAAUAUUGACACUGAGGCACGAAAGCGUGGGGAUCAAACAGG
rnacentral:rRNA from 1 species